GUCCGCCAACCAUAUUUCGCAUACGAUUUAUAAUUUUUCUAUAAAACCUACAUAUAGAGCAAGUAAUGAAAAAUGAUCAACUAAAACAUAAUAUAUAAGGAAUAAUUGUUACUUACGUUGGGUUAGUGGUAGUUCUGCUUUCAGCAUGUAAAGUCAGACUGUAGCCAAACAGUGAAUUGCCUUCGCCUUGUUUAAUGACAUGCUUGUCUGUUUUCACAUCGAUGUUAUAAGCUGAACAACAUGCCAGGAACGAAAAUAAGACGAGUGCCUUGCUACCAGACAUUCGUAUACUUUCAAAAACAAAAAAUAUACCAGAAAAGUAAAUUUUAACAAUUUUGACACAGCUUGUGUGUCUUACGAUGUUGAUCGAGUACUAUAAACGAAUAUUAU